CGAGGUGCUACUGUGGCUAAUGGCUGCCUAGCUGCCUCGUCUUCUAACAUGGCGGAGUCCAAUAAUAAUACAAACACACAGCAUCAAGAAUGUGGUGCACUUGAGUCAGCAGCCAGAAACCUGGUGUCUCUGCUGAUUACCAGUAUGACAGCAAAUGGUUCAAGAACGCUGCAGCCCAACAGUGGCCCUACAGAGCCUAGAAAUCUAACAGUGCAGCAAGAGAAUGACAAGAUCUUUUCCAGGAUAUUUCAAGUCAAAUUUCAGUCGUGGUAAAAAAAGGUGCUUAACCACCACCAAGCAGCUUAAGAUAACCAACAAGAUAACCGCUCUGAAUUUUUAUCUGCUUCCAAAAAACACAUCCCACACACCUUUGCCAACUGAGGAGCUUGAACUCCUGCAAGCAGGCAUGGGUAGAAAAACUGUCUCUCUUCCUGAAGACAGUGACCAUACAGAGAUUUCAAAGCUCCUGACUGAAACAUUUCCAAAAAUGGAGAAUCUUUGUGGAGGAUGGCUACUGCAUAAGGCAACUGGUUUGUAAGACUACAUUGUUCUGUGUAGUAUUUAGUGUUUGUCACAUCCCACUCUUGAAUGUAAAUUGAUGUUUGUACCCUUAAG